UGGCGAACGGGUGAGUAACGCGUGAGCAACCUGACCUUUAGAGGGGGAUAACACCUGGAAACAGGUGCUAAUACCGCAUAAGACCACACUGUCACAUGGCAGAGGGGUCAAAGGAGCAAUCCGCUGAAGGAGGGGCUCGCGUCCCAUUAGAUAGUUGGUGAGGUAACGGCUCACCAAGUCAGCGAUGGGUAGCCGAGCUGAGAGGCUGAACGGCCACACUGGAACUGAGACACGGUCCAGACUCCUACGGGAGGCAGCAGUGGGGAAUAUUGGGCAAUGGGCGCAAGCUUGACCCAGCAACGCUGCGUGAGGAAAGAAGGCUUUCGGGUUGUAAACCUCUGUCGCGGGGACGAAGGAGUGACGGUACCCUGUGAGGAACCCCCGGCUAACUACGUGCCAGAGGCCGCGGUAAUACGUAGGGGGCGAGCGU
rnacentral:rRNA from 1 species